GACGAACGCUGGCGGCAGGCUUAACACAUGCAAGUCGAGCGCUCACUUCGGUGGGAGCGGCGGACGGGUGAGUAACGCGUGGGAACAUACCCUUUGGUACGGAAUAGCCUCUGGAAACGGAGAGUAAUACCGUAUGUGCCCUUCGGGGGAAAGAUUUAUCGCCAAAGGAUUGGCCCGCGUUGGAUUAGGUAGUUGGUGGGGUAAUGGCCUACCAAGCCGACGAUCCAUAGCUGGUUUGAGAGGAUGAUCAGCCACACUGGGACUGAGACACGGCCCAG
rnacentral:rRNA from 1 species